rnacentral:rRNA from 1 species
UACGGAGGGGGCUAGCGUUGUUCGGAAUUACUGGGCGUAAAGCGCACGUAGGCGGCUGUUCAAGUCAGAGGUGAAAGCCCGGGGCUCAACCCCGGAAUAGCCUUUGAGACUGGAUAGCUUGAAUCUUGGAGAGGCGAGUGGAAUUCCGAGUGUAGAGGUGAAAUUCGUAGAUAUUCGGAAGAACACCAGUGGCGAAGGCGGCUCGCUGGACAAGUAUUGACGCUGAGGUGCGAAAGCGUGGGGAGCAAACAGG